AGCAGCAGCAGCAGCAGCGCCAGGGGCGGAGGGCAGGGCCGGGGACGGCGGCGCUGCUCAGUCCCGGCGGCGGCGACGGCGGCGGCGGCGCAGGAAGGUGCUGCUCUCAAGCCCAUGCCCGUCCAUGCAGGCCCGCGUCGGAGACCGGCCGCCGCCACCGCCGCAGCGAAAAGCGCGCCGCGGGCGGAGCGAGGCGGCGGCGGCGGCAAUGGGGUAUAGCGGAAUCGCAGCGGCCGUAGGCAGCAGGCGGGGGAAGAGAGGGUGGGAGAGAAAAGACACAAAGACCGUGAGUGAGUGCCCAGCCCGGCCCCGAACGCGCGAGCGCUCCGGUCCCAGCCAGCGUGGGCUCUGCGGGCGUGGACCGCGGGUGUGAACCAACGGGAGGCGCGCCCAGCCCUGCCGAGCAGCUGCGGGCGGCCCGGAGAUCUCUGCGAGACUGCCCCUACGAUCAGUCAAUCUCAGCCCCGCACUGCUGCCCCGCCCACCCUACACUUGCCAAUCCGCGUCGUCCCCACCCCGUUAGCGCACCUCCCUCCCGUCUCAUUGGCUGCGAGCACCGGUCGGCUGCCCAGCCCGCCACUCGCAGGUCCCAAGGCGUCUGUCCCCCACGCCUCCUCCCACCUCCCGCCUGCUCAAGUGAAUCCGAGUUCCGCGUCCGCCGCCUGUGUGUCCCGCCCACCGCGCCGGGCCCAGCCUCCUUCCCGCUCCCUCUUCUUUAGCCUCCGCCCCCUUCCGCAAUUUACUGCUUCUUCGCGCCCGGUAGAAACAGGCGAGGCUCUUCUCUCCCGUCGGCGUUACAAAAGAACUGGCCUUUGAUCCCUCCUUGAAUUAAUGUGACCGGGUUCAAUUUCCCUCCAGGGUUUAUUAUUAUUUUUUAAAUAACCCCACUAUGUGCCUCAAGCUCCAGGUCCUUGUAAGGAGCAGGCGCUUUUACCCAGCGGACAGGUCUCUUCACAGCCAAUCACAUCUGCGGGACCGCGUUCCCAGCCUGUUGCGGACUUUUGGUACACGGGUGCUUUGGAUUUUCUUAUCAAUAGAGGGCGUCCUCGAGUCACUGCAAAUCCUGGUGUGAAAUGGAACUGUUUUUUAAAGGUGAAACUUCAUUUCUUCUAAGGUCCUUUAUUGCUCCUCUGUUGUAAAAUUUGACAAGCUCAAGAUUUACAAGCCUAACAUUUUACUUUUUAUUGCUGCAUAAGUGUCCAGGGGGAAAUGUUAAUUUUCACAAUUAAAACGCAAGGUGGUUCCUAUUUUCAAGACAUUAGGUCAGUUGACACACACGCCGGGUAAAUUCGGACUAUUAUUAGCAAGAUCCCUAAUAAUCACGGAAACCAAGAGCGUGAGGGAAGGGUCGCGUAUAGCGCAUCCAUUCCUCCACAUUAAAUGCUGCAUUAGUUAAUGAGGAUUUUAAGACUCUUCAAAGAACAAUCUGUGUAGGGAGCUAGAAUACAUACAUAAAAUUGAUGACUUAUAAAAGUUUUAGAUUUUAAUCGGGAAAAAAAAUUCAGUUAAGUGACAGCUUGCACAACUCACAGAUGCCUGUUUCUUGCCUCUUGUACUCUUUCUCCCUUCGCCUUUGU